UGAUGUUCUAACGUUGGCCCCUUACCGGGGUUGCGGACAGUGUCUGGUGGGUAGUUUGACUGGGGCGGUCUCCUCCCAAAGCGUAACGGAGGAGCACGAAGGUUAGCUAAUCCUGGUCGGACAUCAGGAGGUUAGUGCAAUGGCAUAAGCUAGCUUGACUGCGAGCGUGACGGCGCGAGCAGGUGCGAAAGCAGGUCAUAGUGAUCCGGUGGUUCUGAAUGGAAGGGCCAUCGCUCAACGGAUAAAAGGUACUCUGGGGAUAACAGGCUGAUACCU
rnacentral:rRNA from 1 species